rnacentral:rRNA from 1 species
AGUGAACGCUGGCGGUAGGCCUAACACAUGCAAGUCGAACGGCAGCACAGUAAGAGCUUGCUCUUACGGGUGGCGAGUGGCGGACGGGUGAGGAAUACAUCGGAAUCUACUUUUUCGUGGGGGAUAACGUAGGGAAACUUACGCUAAUACCGCAUACGACCUACGGGUGAAAGCAAGGGAUCUUCGGACCUUGCCCGACUCAAUGAGCUGAAGUCGGAUUAGCUAGUUGGCGGGGUAAAGGCCCACCAAGGCGACGAUCCGUAGCUGGUCUGAGAGGAUGAUCAGCCACACUGGAACUGAGACACGGUCCAGACUCCUACGGGAGGCAGCAGUAGGGAAUAUUGGACAAUGGGCGCAAGCCUGAUCCAGCCAUGCCGCGUGGGUGAAGAAGGUCUUCGGGUUGUAAAGCCCUUUUGUUGGGAAAGAAAAGCAGCAGAUUAAUACCCCGCUGUUCUGACGGUACCCAAAGAAUAAGCACCGGCUAACUUCGUG